CCUACGGGAGGCAGCAGUGAGGAAUAUUGGUCAAUGGGCGGGAGCCUGAACCAGCCAAGUCGCGUGAGGGAAGACGGUCCUAUGGAUUGUAAACCUCUUUAGGCGGGGAGCAAUGCCGGGCACGCGUGCCCGGAGGGAGAGUACCCGCAGAAUAAGCAUCGGCUAACUCCGUGCCAGCAGCCGCGGUAAUACGGAGGAUGCGAGCGUUAUCCGGAUUUAUUGGGUUUAAAGGGUGCGCAGGCGGAGGUGCAAGUCAGCGGUCAAAUUGCGGGGCUCAACCCCGUACUGCCGUUGAAACUGCAUCCCUUGAGUGCGCGAGAGGUAUGCGGAAUGCGUGGUGUAGCGGUGAAAUGCAUAGAUAUCACGCAGAACCCCGAUGGCGAAGGCAGCGUGCCGUGCCGCCACUGACGCUGAGGCACGAAAGCGCGGGGAUCGAACAGGAUUAGAUACCCCUGUAGUC
rnacentral:rRNA from 1 species